UUCAACCAGCAGAGCCCUGGGUAAGUCGGGCAGACACUCAAGUCCAUGGCACGAUUCCCAUCACAGUCUGAAGGGCAGAUGCUGGAAUCCGUGCAGUCAGGUCCCCAAACCAACAGCCCAGGUUAGCUUGCAAUGCCCCUACCUGCAGCACUUGCUGACUGAACUUGGACUGGGCAGUUGGCAUACAAGGAACAGUAGUAGUGUGGUGAUGCGCCAUGGCAUCAUGGCGGCUAAAGGCAGUGAGCACCCUCUGCAACCUGUGCUUUAUUCUGUGGCAGUGGAAGAUGCUGACGCUGAAGAAUGAGGACUUAGAACACCAGUACAGCUCCACCCCGCUGGAGUGGCUCACGCUGGACACCAACAUUGCCUAUUGGCUGCACCCCAGGACCAGUGUAAGCGAGCUUGUGUGAGUCCAGUCUAGCUCCUGUAGGUGACCAGGGUUCCUCCAAGGCAAAGGCUCAGAACUUGCUUUUGUUUUGGACACUGGGCAGUCUAAGGCCUGGAUUACUCAUGGCCAAAGAGCAAGGCCUCCCUGUCCUGCUGCCUGUGGAGGGAAGCCCACGGCUGCCCUAUUCUUGUCAAACCAUUCUUGCAUUUCCCCCCAACCCCCGCCCCCAACCACCCAGCCACUAAGCUGGCUCUGGUUCUGCUGCCCCUAGCCACAGCAGACCGGAA
rnacentral:lncRNA from 1 species